GAUGAAGAACGUAGCGAAAUGCGAUAAGUAAUGUGAAUUGCAGAUUUCCAGUGAAUCAUCGAAUCUUUGAACGCACAUUGCGCCCCUUGGUAUUCCAUGGGGCAUGCCUGUUCGAGCGUCAUCUACACCCUCAAGCUCUGCUUGGUGUUGGGCGUCUGUCCCGCCUUUGCGCGCGGACUCGCCCCAAAUUCAUUGGCAGCGGUUGCCUCCUCUCGCGCAGCACAAUUGCGUUUCUUGAGGAGUGCGGGCCGCGUCCACGAAGCAACAUUACCGUCUUUGACCUCGGAUCAGGUAGGGAUACCCGCUGAACUUAAGCAUAUCAAUAAGCGGAGGA
rnacentral:misc_RNA from 1 species